rnacentral:rRNA from 1 species
GAUGAACGCUGGCGGCAUGCCUAACACAUGCAAGUCGAGCGAACAGAUCAGGAGUUUGCUCCCCUGACGUUAGCGGCGGUCGGGUGCUUCACACGUGGAUAACCUACCUAUCCGACUGGGAUACUUUCGCCAAACAAGAUCUACUACCGGAUAAUUUAUUGCACCGCAUUGUUCCCUCGUUAAAGACGCUUUUUCUGUCACUUAUAGCCUGCUACGCCCCGCAUUAGCUAGUUGGUAAGGUAACGGCUUACCAAGGCAACGAUGCGUAGACGACCUGAGCGGGUGAUCGGCCACACGGGAUCUGAGACACGGUACAGACUCCUACGGUAGGCAGCAGUAGGGAAUCUUCCGCGAGGGGCGAAAGCCGGACGGAGCAACGCCGCGGGAGGGAUGAAGGUCUUCGGAUCGUAGAACGCUGUUAGUAGGGAGGAAGAAAAGUGUAUGAAACUAUGCACGUCUUGACGGUACCUAGACAGAAAGCCACGGCUAACUACGUG